rfam:Oryza punctata chromosome 1, whole genome shotgun sequence.
UUUAAACGCAACCAUGAGUUUCCGUAUCCAAUUUUAAUAGUCCGUCUUAUUUAAAUUUUUUUUAUGAUUAAUAUUUUUAUUGUUAUUAGAUAAUAAAAUAUGAAUAGUACUUUAUUCGUAACUUAUAUUUUUUAAUUUCUUUUAAAAAUUUUUUAAAUAAGAUAAACAAUUAAAGUUGAAUACGGAAACUUAUGGUUGCAUUUAAA